UACGUAGGCGGAAUAUUAAGUCAGUGGUGAAAUCCUGCGGCUCAACCGUAGAACUGCCAUUGAUACUGAUAUUCUUGAAUGUAGUUGAGGUAGGCGGAAUGUGUAAUGUAGCGGUGAAAUGCUUAGAUAUUACACAGAACACCGAUUGCGAAGGCAGCUUGCUAAACUAAUAUUGACGCUGAUGCACGAAAGCGUGAGGAGCGAACAGGAUUAGAUACCCUGGUAGUCC
rnacentral:rRNA from 1 species